UUGUUAAAAAUUGACACCAAUCUGGACAGAGUCAUUCUUUAGACCUUUCCUUUCUUUUUUAUCUCUCUUCCUCUAUAAAUCUUUUAGAUUAUAUUUUUAAUUUAGAAAUCUAGAUUAGUACAGCUAAAAAACUGCAAUUAACUUUUAUUUUUUUGUUGUAAAUAAUUAAAUUAAAUUUAUCAAAAACCAUGACAUCGGUCAUCAACAUCGACGGUCACCGAUUACUUUACUCCCUUCAUGAUCAGAAUUUGUGGUGACUUGCAUCUGUGCUAUGAGGCUGGCACUUCAUCACUGUUGAGGAGAAAAUUUAAAACUCCUUUGCUUACAAUGUUGCUUUAUGAAACCUGGUUUAUAUUAGUCAGUUUGCUGGAAUUAAUAGAAGAGUGUGACGUGCAUCCUUAGAUGGUCCACAUACACUAAGAAUCCAACUUGUCCUCAGUGCAAACAUCCAUUUGAGUUUCUCAAUAUUCACCGCUCUCUUGAUGGCAGCAUCCAGGAUUACAUGUUUGAGGAAAGUGUUUGCCUCCUCCUUCGAGCCUCAUGGUUCAUGACUUUGACUGUGGAGGAUCAUGAUGAUGAUCUAGAUGAAGUGUACCUGAGCAGUUCAUCCAAUCUUCGCAUUGGAAAUAUGAGGUGGGGAGAUAAUGGCUAUGUUAGGGCAGGGCAUCAAGAAGCAAGGCCAGUGUAUCAAGCAGUUUUCAAGGACUCAGGGGCGGGCACUUCAUGUGAACCUAAGAAGAAAGAGGCUGGAAAAGAUAGAACCGGGAGACGGGCGAAGAGGACACUCAAGCAUGAAGCUGCUGACAAGGCUGCUGCAUCAAAACAUCAGCAGCAUUUGGCAAGGUUGGGCAGGAAGUGAUUCUCUGUCCAUUUCUGUCUGUUUCUUCAUAAGCCAGAAACAGUGAACCUCUCACUUGUACAGUAUUUCCAUGCUUUAACUCUGGAAUAAUGACAUGGUAGUUGGAUAGCGUCUAGGAGAUGGGGUCCGUGGUUGGUGAUGAAAUAUCAGGUUCAUGUUCUUUCAAGAUUUAACGCUGUUUGAUUCAACUCACAAUGAAGUUCAUAACGUCAUAUUGCAGUUGCUUUGCUAACACCAUGUAUUUCUUAAACUUGUCACUAAUUACAAGUUGACUGGGAUUUGCAAUAUUCCAGAGAUUA